rnacentral:rRNA from 1 species
CCUACCGGGGGGCAGCAGUGAGGAAUAUUGGUCAAUGGGCGAGAGCCUGAACCAGCCAAGUCGCGUGAGGGAGGACUGCCCGAUGGGGUGUAAACCUCUUUUGUCGGGGAGCAAAAGCCGGACGUGUCCGGCUGUGAGAGUACCCGAAGAAAAAGCAGCGGCCAACUCCGGGCCAGCAGCCGCGGUAAUACGGAGGAUGCGAGCGUUAUCCGGAUUUAUUGGGUUUAAAUGGUGCGCAGGCGGAUUUUUAAGUCAGCGGUCAAAUCGUGGGGCUCAACCCCAUCCAGCCGUUGAAACUGGGGAUCUAGAGUGUGCGAGAGGUAUGCGGAAUGCGUGGUGUAGCGGUGAAAUGCAUAGAUAUCACGCAGAACCCCGAUUGCGAAGGCAGCAUACCGGUGCACAACUGACGCUCAGGCACGAAAGCGUGGGUAUCGAACAGGAUUAGAUACCCUAGUAGUC